AAUGAACGCUGGCGGCAGGCCUAACACAUGCAAGUCGAGCGGAUGAGUGGAGCUUGCUCCAUGAUUCAGCGGCGGACGGGUGAGUAAUGCCUAGGAAUCUGCCUGGUAGUGGGGGACAACGUUUCGAAAGGAACGCUAAUACCGCAUACAUCCUACGGGAGAAAGUGGGGGAUCUUCGGACCUCACGCUAUCAGAUGAGCCUAGGUCGGAUUAGCUAGUUGGUGAGGUAAAGGCUCACCAAGGCGACGAUCCGUAACUGGUCUGAGAGGAUGAUCAGUCACACUGGAACUGAGACACGGUCCAGACUCCUACGGGAGGCAGCAGUGGGGAAUAUUGGACAAUGGGCGAAAGCCUGAUCCAGCCAUGCCGCGUGUGUGAAGAAGGUCUUCGGAUUGUAAAGCACUUUAAGUUGGGAGGAAGGGCAGUAAGUUAAUACCUUGCUGUUUUGACGUUACCAACAGAAUAAGCACCGGCUAACUUCGUGCCAGCCGCCGCGGUAAAAC
rnacentral:rRNA from 1 species